rnacentral:rRNA from 1 species
UGGGGAAUAUUGCACAAUGGGCGCAAGCCUGAUGCAGCCAUGCCGCGUGUAUGAAGAAGGCCUUCGGGUUGUAAAGUACUUUCAGUCGGGAGGAAGGUGGUAAGGUUAAUAACCUUGGCAAUUGACGUUACCGACAGAAGAAGCACCGGCUAACUCCGUGCCAGCAGCCGCGGUAAUACGGAGGGUGCAAGCGUUAAUCGGAAUUACUGGGCGUAAAGCGCACGCAGGCGGUUGAUUGAGUCAGAUGUGAAAUCCCCGGGCUUAACCCGGGAAUUGCAUCUGAUACUGGUCAGCUAGAGUCUUGUAGAGGGGGGUAGAAUUCCAUGUGUAGCGGUGAUAUGCGUAGAGAUGUGGAGGAAUACCGGUGGCGAAGGCGGCCCCCUGGACAAAGACUGACGCUCAGGUGCGAAAGCGUGGGGAGCAAACAGG